rnacentral:rRNA from 1 species
CACGUAGGGCGCAAGCGUUGUCCGGAAUUAUUGGGCGUAGAGAGCUCGUAGGUGGUUUGCUGCGUCCGCUGUGAAAACCCAAGGCUUAACCUUGGGCUUGCAGUGGAUACGGGCAGACUAGAGGUAGGUAGGGGAGAAUGGAAUUCCCGGUGUAGCGGUGAAAUGCGCAGAUAUCGGGAGGAACACCGGUGGCGAAGGCGGUUCUCUGGGCCUUACCUGACACUGAGGAGCGAAAGCGUGGGGAGCGAACAGG